rnacentral:rRNA from 1 species
AGUGAACGCUGGCGGUAGGCCUAACACAUGCAAGUCGAACGGCAGCACAGUAAGAGCUUGCUCCUACGGGUGGCGAGUGGCGGACGGGUGAGGAAUACAUCGGAAUCUACUUUUUCGUGGGGGAUAACGUAGGGAAACUUACGCUAAUACCGCAUACGACCUACGGGUGAAAGCAGGGGAUCUUCGGACCUUGCGCGAUUGAAUGAGCCGAUGUCGGAUUAGCUAGUUGGCGGGGUAAAGGCCCACCAAGGCGACGAUCCGUAGCUGGUCUGAGAGGAUGAUCAGCCACACUGGAACUGAGACACGGUCCAGACUCCUACGGGAGGCAGCAGUGGGGAAUAUUGGACAAUGGGCGCAAGCCUGAUUCAGCCAUACCGCGUGGGUGAAGAAGGCCUUCGGGUUGUAAAGCCCUUUUGUUGGGAAAGAAAAGCAGCAGGUUAAUACCCCGCUGUUCUGACGGUACCCAAAGAAUAAGCACCGGCUAACUUCGUG